rnacentral:rRNA from 1 species
CACGUAGGGUGCGAGCGUUGUCCGGAAUUAUUGGGCGUAAAGAGCUCGUAGGCGGUGUGUCGCGUCGGCCGUGAAAACCUGCAGCUUAACUGUGGGCGUGCGGUCGAUACGGGCAGACUAGAGUGCGGUAGGGGAGACUGGAAUUCCUGGUGUAGCGGUGAAAUGCGCAGAUAUCAGGAGGAACACCGGUGGCGAAGGCGGCAUCCUGGACCGACACUGACGCUGAGGCGCGAAAGCUAGGGUAGCAAACGGG